CCUACGGGUGGCAGCAGUAGGGAAUAUUGCUCAAUGGGGGAAACCCUGAAGCAGCAACGCCGCGUGGAGGAUGAAGGUUUUCGGAUUGUAAACUCCUUUUGUUAGAGAAGAUAAUGACGGUAUCUAACGAAUAAGCACCGGCUAACUCCGUGCAAGCAGCCGCGGUCAUACGGAGGGUGCAAGCGUUACUCGGAAUCACUGGGCGUAAAGAGCGCGUAGGCGGGAAAGCAAAUCACAUGUGAAAUCCUAUGGCUUAACCAUAGAACUGCAGUUGAAACUGUUAUUCUUGAGUAUGGGAGAGGUAGGUGGAAUGCUUGGUGUAGGGGUAAAAUCCGUAGAGAUCAAGAGGAAUACUCAUUGCGAAGGCGACCUGCUAGAACAUAACUGACGCUGAUGCGCGAAAGCGUGGGGAGCAAACAGGAUUAGAUACCCGUGUAGUC
rnacentral:rRNA from 1 species